UACAGAGGGUGCGAGCGUUAAUCGGAAUUACUGGGCGUAAAGCGCACGUAGGUGGCGACGUAAGUCGGGUGUGAAAGCCCCGGGCUCAACCUGGGAAUUGCAUUCGAGACUGCAUUGCUGGAGUACGGAAGAGGAGGGCGGAAUUCCCGGUGUAGCGGUGAAAUGUGUAGAGAUCGGGAGGAACACCGGUGGCGAAGGCGGGUCUCUGGGCAUCUCCUGACGCUGAGGCGCGAAAGCGUGGGGAGCAAACGGG
rnacentral:rRNA from 1 species